GACGAACGCUGGCGGCGUGCUUAACACAUGCAAGUCGAACGGAAAGGCCCUGCUUUUGUGGGGUGCUCGAGUGGCGAACGGGUGAGUAACACGUGAGUAACCUGCCCUUGACUUUGGGAUAACUUCAGGAAACUGGGGCUAAUACCGGAUAGGAGCUCCUGCUGCAUGGUGGGGGUUGGAAAGUUUCGGCGGUUGGGGAUGGACUCGCGGCUUAUCAGCUUGUUGGUGGGGUAGUGGCUUACCAAGGCUUUGACGGGUAGCCGGCCUGAGAGGGUGACCGGCCACAUUGGGACUGAGAUACGGCCCAGACGCAUACGGGAGGCAGCAGUGGGGAAUAUUGCACAAGGGGCGGAAGCAUGAUGCAGCAACGCCGCGUGCGGGAUGACGGCCUUCGGGUUGUAAACCGCUUUCGCCUGUGACGAAGCGUGAGUGACGGGAAUGGGGAAAGAAGCACCGGCGAACUACGU
rnacentral:rRNA from 1 species